UCUGACGACCAUAGCGAGUCGGCCCCACCCCUUCCCAUCCCGAACAGGACCGUGAAACGACUCCGCGCCGAUGAUAUUGCGCACUCCGCGUGAGAAAGUAGGUCAUCGUCAGAC
rnacentral:rRNA from 1 species